UGAUAGGUGAGGUGUGGAAGCGUGGUGACACGUUAAGCUAACUCAUACUAAUUGCCCGAGAGGCUUAACCA
rnacentral:rRNA from 1 species